rnacentral:rRNA from 1 species
UGUUUUAUUAGGUUAAAUCGAAAUAUUGAGAUUUAGUUUUAUUAGGGGAGUAUUGGUAAGAGAAACUUAAUUGAAGAGCUAUAGGGAAAGUACUGAGAAGGAAUGUUGAAAUAUAGGUGAAAUAGUUAAGAUUUGGAAAAGAAAGUGUAAAUUGCUGUACCUUUUGUAUAAUGGUUUAGUUAGUAUUAGAAUUGAGAGUAUUUUUUAGCCCGAAGUUAAAUGAGCUAAUGUGGUCUUCCUGUAGGGGAAAAGGCUUUUACUGUUGCAGUAGUAAGGUUAGAGGUUACAUUAGGUGUGAAAUGCUUAUCGCAUUUAACGAUAGCUGGUUCUCUUGGAAAUUGGUGGAAGCUGGGUUCUUGUGUUUAUUGGGAAAUGUUAAUUUGGAAAGAAUAAUUUAGGGGUUUUCUGGUAACAGCAGGGGAUGUAGACAAAUAAGGAUAAGCUUAUUUGUCGAGAAGGAAAAAGCUUUAUUUGUAGACUAAGAGUUUGGUUUAACACUUUGUCUUUGUUAGUAGAAUAGGAUUAGUAUCAUCUAUUUAUGGGGAUGGCGUUAAAGCUUGUUUUGUUAUAGGCAAGGUGGAAGUAAUAAUUAAUGUUUAAAUUAAGUUUGAGGUUGCAGGGAUGUUUAUAAGGGAUUCUCGUGUUUGUAUUUGGGAGUUAUUCUGCUAAUAUGAGUAAGGAUGGAGACUUUUUGUGGGUUAAGCAGUCCUAACUUUGGAUGGAGAAGCUGUGAUGGACGAGAAGUUAAGCUUGAUUUGAGGUUAAGGUAUAAGGUUGUUUACUAACACAAGUGGUCUUUGGUUAUGAAGGUAGGAAGAAGGAAUUCGGCAAGAUUUGGUUUCGCCUGUUUAUCAAAAACAUCGCUCCCUGGUAAGAAGAUUUUUGGGAUAGGGAGUCCUGCCUGCCCGGUGACUUGGUUAAACGGCCGCGGUAUUUUGACCGUGCGAAGGUAGCGUAAUCAUUUGCCUUUUAAAUGGGGGCUGGUAUGAAUGGCAAGACGGGGGUCAGACUGUCUCUUUCCUAUUUUCUUGAAUUUAAUUUUUCUGUGAAGAAGCGGGAAUGGAGUCGUGGGACGAGAAGACCCUAUCGAGCUUUAGUGGGUUUUGUUUAAACGAGUAUAUUGUAGUAAUUGCUUUGUGGCUAAUUAUUUAGUGUUUUAUUGGUAAGUAGUUUUACUGUAAAAGUGAUUUCGUUGUAUGUAGACUACUUUGGUUGGGGCAACCGCGGAGAAAAGGUAUCCUCCGUUAAGGGGACUUAUAAAAUAUAUAUUUUUAUGGUGUAGGUUCUAUUUGUUGAGUGGUCCGCCUGUAGGGGCGAUCAUAGGAAUAAGUUACCGUAGGGAUAACAGCGUAAUUCUUUUAGAGAGUUCAUAUUGAGAAGAGAGUUUGCGACCUCGAUGUUGGAUCGAGAUUUCCAGGAGGUGCAGCAGCUUCCAAAGGUUGGUCUGUUCGACCAUUAAAAUCUUACGUGAUCUGAGUUCAGACCGGCGGGAGCCAGGUCAGUUUCUAUCUGCGAUUUGAUGUAAGGACCUUCUUUAGUACGAAAGGAUUGGGAAGGGUGUGCUUAGGCUUUUUGGUAAGCACUGUAGUAAAGUUCUGCUUGAAAAUGAAGGGAGUAGGAAAUUUUU